rnacentral:rRNA from 1 species
UACGUAGGGUGCGAGCGUUAAUCGGAAUUACUGGGCGUAAAGCGUGCGUAGACGGCUAUCUAAGUCGGGUGUGAAAGCCCCGGGCUCAACCUGGGAAUUGCAUUCGAGACUGAAUAGCUAGGGUACGGUAGAGGGAAGUGGAAUUUCCGGUGUAGCGGUGAAAUGCGUAGAUAUCAGGAGGAACACCGGUGGUGUAGACGCUUCUGGACCGUAACUGACGCUGAGACACGAAAGCGUGGGUAGCAAACAGG